GUGCCCUACUUAUUUUUUUUACUUGUCUAACACCAGACGGUUUAACUCGUCAAUGGGGAUGGCCCACAAAGCUCUGCAGCUUAAUGGGUUGACAAAAAAAUCUGCCAAUGUCUGUAGUUAACCCAUUGAUCCGCAAUGUGCCCUAGUGUGCCCUGGGGAAGCUCUGCAGCUUAAUGGGUUAAUGUAAUUAACUUUACAUGUCAAUUAUGGUCAUUACCUAUGGUUUAAUAACAAAGGUCAAUAAAUAUGGCAUUGCAUGGAGGUAGAACGAUUAAUUGGCGCUUGUGUACAUAUAAUUGAUUGCAAUGGUUUUCUUUAGGUUAUGUUUUUGUUUUGACUUGUUAUUAAACCAUAGGUG
rnacentral:lncRNA from 1 species